rnacentral:rRNA from 1 species
CAAUGGGGGAACCCUGAUGCAGCGACGCCGCGUGGAGGAAGAAGGUCUUCCGAUUGUAAACUCCUGUUGUUGGGGAAGAUAAUGACGGUACCCAACAAGGAAGUGACGGCUAACUACGUGCCAGCAGCCGCGGUAAAACGUAGGUCACAAGCGUUGUCCGGAAUUACUGGGUGUAAAGGGAGCGCAGGCGGGAAGACAAGUUGGAAGUGAAAUCUAUGGGCUCAACCCAUAAACUGCUUUCAAAACUGUUUUUCUUGAGUAGUGCAGAGGUAGGCGGAAUUCCCGGUGUAGCGGUGGAAUGCGUAGAUAUCGGGAGGAACACCAGUGGCGAAGGCGGCCUACUGGGCACCAACUGACGCUGAGGCUCGAAAGUGUGGGUAGCAAACAGGAUUAGAUACCCUGGUAGUCCAAGGGCGAAUUC